ACCGGCGCACGGGUGCGUAACGCGUAUGCAAUCUACCUUUUACAGAGGGAUAGCCCAGAGAAAUUUGGAUUAAUACCUCAUAGUAUUAUUGAAUGGCAUCAUUUAAUAAUUAAAGUCACAACGGUAAAAGAUGAGCAUGCGUCCCAUUAGCUAGUUGGUAAGGUAACGGCUUACCAAGGCAACGAUGGGUAGGGGUCCUGAGAGGGAGAUCCCCCACACUGGUACUGAGACACGGACCAGACUCCUACGGGAGGCAGCAGUGAGGAAUAUUGGUCAAUGGGCGCAAGCCUGAACCAGCCAUGCCGCGUGCAGGAUGACGGUCCUAUGGAUUGUAAACUGCUUUUGUACAGGAAGAAACAGUUCUACGUGUAGAACCUUGACGGUACUGUAAGAAUAAGGAUCGGCUAACUCCGUGCCAGCAGCCGCGGUAAUACGGAGGAUCCAAGCGUUAUCCGGAAUCAUUGGGUUUAAAGGGUCCGUAGGCGGUUUUGUAAGUCAGUGGUGAAAGCCCAUCGCUCAACGGUGGAACGGCCAUUGAUACUGCAAGACUUGAAUUAUUAGGAAGUAACUAGAAUAUGUAGUGUAGCGGUGAAAUGCUUAGAUAUUACAUGGAAUACCAAUUGCGAAGGCAGGUUACUACUAAUAUAUUGACGCUGAUGGACGAAAGCGUGGGGAGCGAACAGGAUUAGAUACCCUGUUAGUCCACGCCGU
rnacentral:rRNA from 1 species